rnacentral:rRNA from 1 species
CAGCAGCUGCGGUAAUACGGAGGGUGCGAGCAUUAAUCGGAUUUAUGGGGCGUAAAGGGCGCGUAGGCGGAGAUGUAAGCCAGAUGUGAAAGCCCGGGGCUCAACCCCGGAAUAGCAUUUGGAACUACAUCCCUUGAGGAUAGGCGGAGAAAACGGAAUUCCACAUGUAGCGGUGAAAUGCGUAGAUAUGUGGAGGAACACCGGUGGCGAAGGCGGUUUUCUAGCUUAUUCCUGACGCUGAGGCGCGAAAGCAGGGGGAGCAAACAGGAUUAGAUACCCUGGUAGUCCCUGCCGUAAACGAUGCACACUUGGUGUAGUUGGACUCAACCCCGACUGUGCCGGAGCUAACGCGUUAAGUGUGCCGCCUGGGGAGUACGCUCGCAAGGGUGAAACUCAAAAGAAUUGACGGGGACCCGCACAAGCAGUGGAGCAUGUGGUUUAAUUCGAUGCAACGCGAAGAACCUUACCCAGACUUGACAUGUAGGGGACAGCCUUGGAAACAAGGUCUCUCGGAUGAGUCGCUACACAGGUGCUGCAUGGCUGUUGUCAGCUCGUGCCGUGAGGUGUUGGGUUAAGUCCCGCAACGAGCGCAACCCUUGUCGUUAGUUGCCAGCACGUAAUGGUGGGAACUCUAACGAGACUGCCUGGGUUAACCAGGAGGAAGGUGAGGAUGACGUCAAGUCCGCAUGGCCCUUAUGUCUGGGGCUACACACGUGCUACAAUGGCCGGUACAGAGGGCAGCGAAACCGCGAGGUCAAGCAAAUCCCAGAAAGCCGGUCUCAGUUCGGAUUGUAGUCUGCAACUCGACUACAUGAAGCCGGAAUUGCUAGUAAUGGCGUGUCAGCAAUAACGCCGUGAAUACGUUCCCGGGUCUUGUACACACCGCGGGUCACAUCAUGGGAGUUGGUUUCACCCGAAGUCGUCGACUUAAGUUGCAAAGGAGAGAGGCGCCAAAGGUGCCUUCAAAAAUCAUGAUGAAGUCGUAACAAGGUAACCGUA